GCUGGGUGCGGUGCCUCACGCCUGUAAUCCCAGCACUUUGGGAGGCCGAGGUGGGUGGAUCACCUGAGGUCAGGAGUUCAAGACCAGCCUGGCCAAUAUGGUGAAAACCCAUCUCUA
ensembl:misc_RNA Metazoa_SRP Metazoan signal recognition particle RNA